rnacentral:rRNA from 1 species
ACGGACCAGACGGGGAACCCAAGGUACUAAGUAUUCGUAGUGAUUGGGGUG